ensembl:snRNA U1 U1 spliceosomal RNA
AUACUUACUGGCAGGGGAGAUGCCAUGAUCAUGCAGGUGGUUUUCCCAGGGCGAGGCUCAUCCAUUCACUUGAGAUGUGCUGACCCCUGCGAUUGCCCCAAAUAUGGGAAACUCAACUGCAUAAUUUUUGAUAGUGGGGGACUGGGUUCACACUCUCAAA